rnacentral:rRNA from 1 species
UUAACUGAGAGUUUGAUUCUGGCUCAGAACGAACGCUGGCGGCGCGCUUAACACAUGCAAGUCGAACGGGGUGCAUAUUGAAGUCGACUUCGGUUGGCGGAUAUAUGUUACUUAGUGGCGAACGGGUGAGUAACAUGUAGGUAACCUGCCCUUAGGAUUGGGAUACUCCCGGGAAACCGGGCACAAUACCGAAUAUGACUCCGGGGUGAAAUGCCUUGGGGUAAAAGCUACGGGCAACCGUGGCGCCUGAUGAGGGACCUGCGGCCUAUCAGCUUGUUGGUGAGGUAACGGCUCACCAAGGCUAAGACGGGUAGCCGGACUGAGAGGUCGAUCGGCCACACUGGAACUGAGACACGGUCCAGACUCCUACGGGAGGCAGCAGUGGGGAAUUUUGCGCAAUGGGCGAAAGCCUGACGCAGCGACGCCGCGUGGGGGAAGAAGGCCUUCGGGUUGUAAACUCCUUUAGUACGGGAAGAAGUCUCGAGCAAUCGGGAUGACGGUACCGUAAGAAUAAGCCACGGCUAACUCUGUGCCAGCAGCCGCGGUAAGACAGAGGUGGCAAGCGUUGUUCGGAUUUACUGGGCUUAAAGGGCGUGUAGGCGUCCUGAUAAGUCAGAUGUGGAAGC